rnacentral:rRNA from 1 species
AACGAACGCUGGCGGCAGGCUUAACACAUGCAAGUCGAACGCAUCGCAAGAUGAGUGGCAGACGGGUGAGUAACGCGUGGGAACAUACCCUUUUCUACGGAAUAGCUCUGGGAAACUGGAAUUAAUACCGUAUACGCCCUACGGGGGAAAGAUUUAUCGGGGAAGGAUUGGCCCGCGUUGGAUUAGCUAGUUGAUGGGGUAAAGGCCUACCAAGGCGACGAUCCAUAGCUGGUCUGAGAGGAUGAUCAGCCACAUUGGGACUGAGACACGGCCCAAACUCUUACGGGAGGCAGCAGUGGGGAAUAUUGGACAAUGGGCGCAAGCCUGAUCCAGCCAUGCCGCGUGAGUGAUGAAGGCCUUAGGGUUGUAAAGCUCUUUCACCGAUGAAGAUAAUGACGGUAGUCGGAGAAGAAGCCCCGGCUAACUUCGUGCCAGCAGCCGCGGUAACAC